rnacentral:rRNA from 1 species
AAAUACUCCAAAAAACGUACUCAGUUCGGAUUGUAGGCUGCAACCCGCCUACAUGAAGUCGGAAUUGCUAGUAAUCGCGAAUCAGCAUGUCGCGGUGAAUACGUUCCCGGGCCUUGUACACACCGCCCGUCACACCAUGAGAGUUGGCAAUACCCAACGUACGUGAUCUAACCCGCAAGGGAGGAAGCGUCCUAAGGUAGGGUCAGCGAUUGGGGUGAAGUCGUAACAAGGUAGC